GCAUGUAUAGACGAGGCCUGUUCAUGUGGAAGAAGUGUUAUAUUACUGUGUAAUAUCAGAAACACAAGGAAAAAGUGCCACUACCGUAUUAUUGUUGCUGGUGUUUUAUUUUAACAUUGUUGUUUAUUAUUACACACAAGAAGAGAUGACAAGUUGUUAUAUUAUCUUUAUUUUGGGGUGAACAAUUUGAUGUGUAAUCCAAGGAUAUUUUUGACAUUGUAUUUUGAUUUGUUCUGGGUUUUCUGUCCCAAAUACUUAAAUGAAACUAAAUAGAAACUCCUAACCAAUUAUAAGGAAUAAAAAUACGAACCUCACUCAUA